rnacentral:lncRNA from 1 species
UGAAACAAUGAAAAGCUUCGGCCUUUAUAGCCAGAUUACAACCUUUUUUCUAUUUUUUGUUGUUUUUUUAUUUGUUUCUUGCUGUUGUCCUUUUCUCUUGCGUGUUGCAGGUGGUGUCAGACCCGCAUAGAGGGCUAGCGAUAGAUGAGUGGGGACGGCCAGGGGCGUGCGGCUAGGUGUGGCAGACGAGGAGGCCACGCAUGGAAGCUUGCGGCAGCUAGCUUGGGGAAGCAAACUAGGGUUUAUUUUGCUGAAAUGUUAAGAUAGUGGGCUAGGGUUUUGUAAUUUUUGGGGCCGAAAUUUUGGGUUAAUUUUGUUAUAAUGGACUGAAAUUUUUAAUAUUUGGGCCCGGGCAAAAA